rnacentral:rRNA from 1 species
ACGUAGGUCCCGAGCGUUGUCCGGAUUUAUUGGGCGUAAAGCGAGCGCAGGCGGUUAGAUAAGUCUGAAGUGAAAGGCAGUGGCUCAACCAUUGUAGGCUUUGGAAACUGUUUAACUUGAGUGCAGAAGGGGAGAGUGGAAUUCCAUGUGUAGCGGUGAAAUGCGUAGAUAUAUGGAGGAACACCGGUGGCGAAAGCGGCUCUCUGGUCUGUAACUGACGCUGAGGCUCGAAAGCGUGGGGAGCGAACAG